CUUGUCAGUGAUGAUCCUUGUGUUUGAGUUUCACGACUAUGAAACCAGUCACAUGCACUACCAUCUGAGACGGC